GGGCUCCCAGCGGUCUUCCGGGUUAAGGGCUGGUCUUCUUGAACAUCGGAAGCUGGGGGAACCACAUCCUGGUCUCACCCACCUACCCUGGCUUUGCAGACACCUAGGCCUCCACUCCGCCUCUAACACUUAAGCCACCUCCUGUGACACAGACCUCACCGUCCGCAGAAGCCUCUCUCCUCAGCCAUGCCUUCCAUGCCCAAGGUGCCAGGAGGCGGAGGUCCCUGGCAGGUGACGUGUGAGUCCUGUGUGUCCUAGAAAGUCCACCGGCAUUUGGGGACCAAGGCCUGCUCAGCGAGGGUCGUUCCUCCUGGGCCAGCCUGGCCGCUCAGGUCCCCUCGUCAGCUGGAAUGCCCUCCCACGUGGCCCGGACGCUGCUGCUCGUCUUCAUCGUCUUCAUCGUCUUCAUCGUACUCCAUCCAGGAUCCUGUGCUCUCUGGGUGUCCCAGCCCCCUGAGGUUCAUGCCCAGGAGGGUGCCGCUGCCCUCGUGCCCUGCUCCUUCAAUGCCAGCCAAGGGACACUGGCCAUUGGCUCUGUCACAUGGUAUCGGGACAUGGUGGCCCCGGGGAAGGAAGUGAAGAAUGGGACCCCAGAGUUCAGGGGCCGCCUGGCCCCUCUUGCCUCUUCCCGCUUCCUCUGUGACCACCAGGCGGAGCUGCACAUCUGGGAUACCCGAGGCCCAGAUGCCGGCGUCUACGUGUGCCGGGUGGAGGUGCUGGGCCUGGGUGUUGGGACAGGGAACGGGACUCUGCUGGUGGUGGAGAAAGGACCUCCUGGGCCAGGGCCCCUCGCGGCCCUCCUCCUUCGGGCUGGAUUCUAUGCCUUCAGCUUUCUCUCCGUGGCCAUGGGCAGCACCAUCUAUUACCAAGGCAAGUGUGCGUCAUGGAGCCAUGACAAUGGCCUAAGAGAAGGUGGAGCAGCGAGCGCGCUGGAGCGGGGAGACAGAGGCCAAGGCGAGAGGAGCCUCGUAGCACCAGGGACUCGGCCACCUCCCUGCCAGGCCACUGCCACCCGGGGACACUGCCGCCUCUUGGAUGCCUCUGAUGAGUGAUUCCAGACCCCAGUGACCCCAGCACUCUUCAGGAGACCCCAAUAAAUCAGCCCCACCACUAACUUCCAGCGAGCCUCUGUUUCCUUCCCCGUCCCCCAAUACCCCAGUGUGCCCCUCUCCGGGUUCUCCUUUCUGCUAAGCCUGGCCUAGGAAUGCCCAAGGAGGGAGCUUCCCAGCAAUUGUGCCUGGAGGACCCCCCUUCCCCCAGCCUGGGGCUCAACAGGAAGUGACCCAGCUCUCCCAGCCCAGGAGGCGGAGAAAUGAGGGAUAUCAAAUCUGAUUGGUCCAACUGUCAACUGCCCACAGACAAAGACAAUAGUCCCCCAUGGGGGGUAUCUUCCAAGACUCCUCAUGGAUGCCUGAGACCAUGGACGGGACUGAGCCCUCUAUAUACUGUGGUUUUUUCCUGUACAUACAUGCCUAUGAUGAAGUUUAAUUUAUAAAUUAGGCAUGGUAAGAGAUUAACGAUGAUAAAAUAGGACGAUUAUAACAAUAUCCUAUAUAAUAAAAGCCUAAUAUGCAAAUUGUCCCCUUGACCGGGAGUUCGACCAGGAGUUUCUACUGCUUGCUAUGACCUGUGCUGACCACCAGGGAACGGCGUGGAACAUAGCGGGCAGCAGGCAGCGGGCAGCAGUGGAGGUGCUGCUGGCCCCAAUGAGCCCAGACAACAGCGGGAUGCAGCAGGAUGAUGGAGCAGAUAUCUUAUUUUCCUAUACUCACCCUGCUUCCUGUGACAUGAGAGGAUACAGUGCCUGCCUGUGUGAUGGAUGCAGUGAGGUGAAUGACAUGGGCACUGGCCUGCGAUCGGGGGAUGUGAACACAAGCGCAGUGAUACCUCGACUGCCGACCUUGCAACCUGGCUGGCUACUAAGUGCCUCGGCCAGGUAGCAUGUCCAGGGUGGGUUCGCUGGACACACAGAUAAGCCACACCCCGGGCAGGAUGGAGCGGGAUAGAGAUUUCAUCACGCUGCUCAGAAUGGUGCGCAAUUUAAAACUUAGGAAUUGUUUAUUUCUGGAACUUUCCGUUUACUAUUUUCUGACCAGGGGUAACUGGACCAGUGUUUCCACUGUUUCAAAGUGAAACCAUGGGUAAGGGGGGACUACUGUAUUCUUUUCGAGCCUUCAGAUGAGCUUGGGUCCCUAGACACCCUUCUUUAGCCAAGAAAUCACUACUUGACCCCAGAGUGGGUGGGAAGGGAAGUGACUUAGGUUUGAUGGUGGCAGUGUUGAGGGGCUUGAGACGGAUU